rnacentral:rRNA from 1 species
CAGCAGCCGCGGUAAUGCGAAGGGUGCAAGCGUUAAUCGGAAUUACUGGGCGUAAAGCGUGCGUAGGCGGUGAGUUAAGUCUGCUGUGAAAUCCCCGGGCUCAACCUGGGAAUGGCAGUGGAUACUGGCUCGCUAGAGUGUGUCAGAGGAUGGUGGAAUUCCCGGUGUAGCGGUGAAAUGCGUAGAGAUCGGGAGGAACAUCAGUGGCGAAGGCGGCCAUCUGGGACAACACUGACGCUGAGGCACGAAAGCGUGGGGAGCAAACAGGAUUAGAUACCCCAGUAGUCCCUGUCUCUUAUAC